CCUACGGGGGGCAGCAGUGGGGAAUAUUGGGCAAUGGGCGCAAGCCUGACCCAGCAACGCCGCGUGCAGGAAGAAGGCUUUCGGGUUGUAAACUUCUUUUGUCAGGGACGAAGCAAGUGACGGUACCUGACGAAUAAGCCACGGCUAACUACGUGCCAGCCGCCGCGGUAAUAAGUAGGUGGCCAGCGUUAUCCGGAUUUAUUGGGUGUAAAGGGCGUGUAGGCGGGAAUGCAAGUCAGAUGUGAAAACUAUGGGCUCAACCCAUAGCCUGCAUUUGAAACUGUAUUUGUGGAGUGCUGUAGAGGCAAUCGGAAUUCCGUGUGUAGCGGUGAAAUGCGGAGAUAUACGGAGGAACACCAGUGGCGAAGGCGGAUUGCUGGACAGUAACUGACGCUGAGGCGCGAAAGCGUGGGGAGCAAACAGGAGUAGAUACCCGGGUAGUC
rnacentral:rRNA from 1 species